AUUCCCCUAGUAACGGCGAGUGAACCGGGAUGAGCUCAAAUUUGAAAUCUGGCGUCCUCAGGGCGUCCGAGUUGUAAUCUAUAGAGGCGUUUUCCGUGCCGGACCGUGUCCAAGUCCCUUGGAACAGGGUAUCAAAGAGGGUGACAAUCCCGUACUUGACACGACGACCGGUGCUCUGUGAUACGUCUUCUACGAGUCGAGUUGUUUGGGAAUGCAGCUCAAAAUGGGUGGUGAGUUCCAUCUAAAGCUAAAUAUUGGCGAGAGACCGAUAGCGAACAAGUACCGUGAGGGAAAGAUGAAAAGCACUUUGGAAAGAGAGUUAAACAGUACGUGAAAUUGUUGAAAGGGAAACGAUUGAAGUCAGUCGUGACUGUUGGGCUCAGCAGGUUCUGCCUGUGUAUUCCCUUCAGUCGGGUCAACAUCAGUUUUGACCGGUGGAUAAGGGCAGCAGGAAUGUGGCACCCUCGGGUGUGUUAUAGCCUGUCGUCGCAUACAUCGGUCGAGACUGAGGAACGCAGCUCGCCUUUAUGGCCGGGGUUCGCCCACGUCCGAGC
rnacentral:rRNA from 1 species